rnacentral:rRNA from 1 species
AUCGGNAUGAGUACACUUUAAAUCCUUUAACGAGUAUCCAUUGGAGGGCAAGUCUGGUGCCAGCAGCCGCGGUAAUUCCAGCUCCAAUAGCGUAUAUUAAAGUUGUUGCGGUUAAAAAGCUCGUAGUUGGACUUGUGUCCCACGCUGUCGGUUCACCGCCCGUCGGUGUCUAACUGGCAUGGUUCGUGGGACGUCCUGCCGGUGGUGGCGAGUCGAAAGCGAGCGCCCGUUACGACUUCGGUUGUGCGGGGUCAGCUCGCCGUAGACGGACCCCGAUGAAAUCCUACUGCGGUGCUCUUCACCGAGUGUCGAGGUGGGCCGGCACGUUUACUUUGAACAAAUUAGAGUGCUUAAAGCAGGCCUGUUGCGCCUGAAUACUGUGUGCAUGGAAUAAUGGAAUAGGACCUCGGUUCUAUUUUGUUGGUUUUCGGAACCCGAGGUAAUGAUUAAUAGGGACAGGCGGGGGCAUUCGUAUUGCGACGUUAGAGGUGAAAUUCUUGGAUCGUCGCAAGACGGACCGAAGCGAAAGCAUUUGCCAAGUAUGCUUUCAUUAAUCAAGAACGAAAGUUAGAGGUUCGAAGGCGAUCAGAUACCGCCCUAGUUCUAACCAUAAACGAUGCCAGCUAGCGAUCCGCCGAAGUUCCUCCGAUGACUCGGCGGGCAGCUCCCGGGAAACCAAAGCUUUUGGGUUCCGGGGGAAGUAUGGUUGCAAAGCUGAAACUUAAAGGAAUUGACGGAAGGGCACCACCAGGAGUGGAGCCUGCGGCUUAAUUUGACUCAACACGGGAAACCUCACCAGGCCCGGACACUGGAAGG